rnacentral:rRNA from 1 species
AUGCCCCUACGGGACGCAGCAGUGGGGAAUAUUGCACAAUGGGGGGAACCCUGAUGCAGCGACGCCGCGUGGGUGAAGGAGUACUUCGGUACGUAAAGCCCUAUCAGCAGGAAAGAAAAUGACGGUACCUGACUAAGAAGCACCGGCUAAAUACGUGCCAGCAGCCGCGGUAAUACGUAUGGUGCAAGCGUUAUCCGGAUUUACUGGGUGUAAAGGGAGCGCAGGCGGCGCGUUAAGCCUGGUGUGAAAGCCCGCGGCCCAACCGCGGGACUGCAUUGGGAACUGGCGCGAUGGAGUGCCGGAGG